UCUCAUCAUCCAAUAGCUGAAUAGGGACAACAAUAAUGGCCUAGGUGAGAAACAUUGUUGGAGCUCUAUUCAUAGUGACCCUCAUCCUAGGAGCCCCAUGUGUGCUAGCAGGAGAAAUUGCUGAAAAGGUCAGCACGGUAGUUGCCAAGGCAGAUGACUGCAACAAGCAAUGUGAGGGUAAGGGGACGCCUGCCGACAUCGACCAUUGCAAGGAGAAGUGUAGCCUCACCGAGCACUUCAGUUAUGCGACCAUCGGUGUAGGUGCCUGCCGUCAGAACUGCGACAAGCUAAAGAAUGACCAAUCCUCCUUCAACUCGUGUGAAGAGAAAUGUCGUGAGAAGUAUGAGGGUAGGUUGUCACAGAUCAAACAGGGUCAGAAUCUUUAGGGAGGCAUGCCCAAAGUAUUAUCCAACGACAACCGAUAGACCACACUCACAUGGGUGAUGUGUCAACCCAACAUCAACAACCAUAUUUUUGCCCAAGGUGAACCGCUCGACAGCGAAGCCCCACGCAAUCCUUGUAAUGUCAUGUCUUUUUAUAAAUCUUUGUAGCUGGACUAUCAAGUUGGUUGAUAACAAUUGGUAGUUCUUUCCAUUGUCAAUGAAAUUAUUGUUGUAAUAAAUUCUAUUAAUUAAAAAAAUGUGCUAGCCUUUAGCAGUGGUUGAUUAUUUUUGUCUUUCCUUGUAAUACUUUCAGUGCACAUGAAGUUUUUCUAUAUGGGUAUAUAAUUUUGUGAAAGGAUCUGUGCACAUUGACAUUAAAUAAUUUCCUAGAUUGGGUGCAUUAGCAACUGAUGUAUUGUUCCGAUGGCUAUAUUUGUUAUUCACAUGCGAAAAAUGACUGAUGGUCAACAUUUUGUAUAGUAAAAGCAAGAAACCACUUUUGCAAAUGAAAUUUCCAUAGUGUCCACUAUUCCCGUAUUCCGAAGGAUAUAUCCUUGUUGUUAACUAAUGACAUGGUUGCCUCAUUUUAUUGAUUGGUUUAGUACUGAUGGUUGAAUGCAACCGACAGAGUGGGCAUAAGAAAAUUGAAGCGUUACUAGAUGCAUGGUUGACAAAAUACACGAAUGUUUCUCUACGAUGGAAAGCAUUCAAACCGAUGAGAAAUCAAACAUUAGUACAAAUAGUGUUUGAAAUUACAUCCCUAUGUACCAAAUUACUAGGGACAAGUAGGUAAACAUUACUUAGUAAAACAAGGUCUCAAAACAACUACUUACAUUAUUGCAUAUGAUCUAGAUAUCUUGACCAUCACUUCUGUAUGCCUCUUUCCUUAUGGGCAGUUUACAAGGGAGCAAUGUUUUGUUCGGGUAAUGCAUUAUGACACUCAAUGAUAUGCAACCAAUUUUGCCCAUGCUAAAGUUCAGAGAUAGUGGAAGAUCACUAGGUGGAGAGAAACAUGUUAGCCCACAUGGGUAGUGCCCAAUACUACUUUCACUUUAGUGUGUUACCCUAGAACGAGCUAAGAGCACCGUGACUCAGAGAAGGAAAAACUCAAAUAUGGAGCACUUAGCCACCAUGCGGAAGCAUCAUGUGCUUAUUAAAAGUGAAGUAGUUAACUUGUUAGUAUAUUUUUAAUGAAAAGUGCUCAAACAAUAAUCCUUUGUUUUGACUAAUUCUCAAAUUGUCUUUUCAUGAGGAGAAACUGGAUUUCUUAUGACCAGAGCAGUUGUUGUCAUGAUAUUGAGCUACUAUUGCCCUUGUCAACCCCAACCCUAACCAAAUAUAGAAGAGGUCAAUCAAAUCAUAGGGUGAAUACAUACAAGGUGAUAGCAAUGGUUUAGGAGCACAACAAAGAUUGAGAUGACUAUCAUAGGCUACAUGUGCAAAAAUUUAUUUUGGAAGAUUGAUGGUUAAUAUUUAUUGGACAAGGAGCCUAGCACAUGGCAAUGAUGGUUUGGUUUACGGAUAUACCAAAAAAGUUCUAAACCCAUACAUUGUUGCCAACAAUAAACUACUACUUCCGACUAAGCAUUGGCAAUUUGUUUCCACCAGCCAAAAUGGUUGAAACCCAUGCAUGGUUGCCAAGUGAACAACACCUAUGAGGUAAAGUGAAAGACAAAGAAAAUUGGAAGAUGGGCAUCCACUUACCACCAAAUGGUUCAGCGUGAAGCUCUCGUAGCCUCACACCCUUGCCUAAUUUAUGUCCUCCCCUCCACUAUAUAUAAAGGAUGACACAGUAGCUCCAUGAGUAAACCCAUCUCAUCAUCCAAUAGCUGAAUAUGGACAACAAUAAUGGCCCAGGUGAGAAACAUUGUUGGAGCUCUAUUCAUAGUGACCCUCAUCCUAGGAGCCCCAUGUGUGCUAGCAGGAGAAAUUGCUGACAAGGUCAGCAAGGUAGUUGCCAAGGCAGAUGUCUGCAAUAAGCAAUGUGAGGGUAAGGGGACGCCUGCCGACAUCGACCAUUGCAAGGAAAAGUGUAGCCUCACCGAGCACUUCAGUUAUGCGUCCAUCGGUGUAGGUGCCUGACGUCAGAACUGCGACAAGCUAAAGAAUGACCAAUCCUCCUUCAACUCGUGUGAAGAGAAAUGUCGUGAGAAGUAUGAGGGUAGGUUGUCACAGAUCAAACAGGGUCAGAAUCUUUAGGGAGGCAUGCCCAAAGUAUUAUCCAACCACAACCAAUAGACCACCCUCACAUGGGUGAUGUGUCAACCCAACAUCAACAACCAUAUUUUUGCCCAAGGUGAACCGCUUGAAAGCGAAGCCCCACACAAUCUUUGUAAUGUCAUGUCUUUUAUAAAUCUUUGUAGCUGGACUAUCAAGUUGGCUGAUAACAAUUGGUAGUUC
rnacentral:lncRNA from 1 species